CAGCUUCAUUGCCCUCCUCUGCACUCGCUCCAGCACCUCCAUAUCUCUCUUGUAUUGAGGUUGAGUAACUGUGUUGUGAUAUUUCAGUUUUAAGUGAAUUUCUUUUAGUGGCUGCAAUUAAAAGCCUAAAAGAUAACUUAAUUACUCUGUCAAGCAGAAAUGCCAAAUUCCCUAGCAAUCCUAUCUGUGUCGUCUCCUUUACAUGUUUCUGUUUGUAGUGUAGAAAUUAGAUAUUUCUGUUAAAUAUACUGGAAGAUAAUCAGGAACGUGUUUUUUCUUGAUUCAUGAGCUCCUCUCAGGCUAAGAUACAACUUCUGUGUUGAGUAGUUUGUUUGAGGAGGGUGUUUUGUUUUCUUCUAACCAGAUUUAACAACAAAAAAAAGCAAGUAGAUUAACACUUGUUUCUGAACGGAGUAGAUGAAGGUGUUUUUCUUGCUCCUUUUUUCCAGUCAAAACCUUAUUCCUGUUUGUCUUGUUUUAAGCCAUAUUUGUUGUGGUGUCUACAGAAGCUUUGGGUAUGUCUUUCAUCUGUGCUCUGUUAACUUCUUUUAGCCUCUAAUUGCGCCAGUAAGUCACAUAUGAAAUGUACAAAUUACAGUAGGUGAGAUCUUGUAUAUUUUUGUGACCAGCAUUUAAUUGAGAAAUUCAAAUGUUAAAGUGGCUUAAAGCUUCCUGGGCUUUGUCUGAAAUUCAUUUUAACAAAUAUUUAAACCACUGUGGAUGUGUCUAUAUGGCGUAUUCUUUUCAUGCAAAAGUUUUUGGAGCCUUGAUAACAAAUAGCAUCCUCUUUAGUUUGCCAGCUUGGCUGGUGGUUGUUGGUGAAGAAAUCAGUGCCAACCUGUGGCAGCCAAACUAACUAGUAACUUCUUUAACAGUGAUAAUUAAAAAAAACCCCACCAAAACAAACCUAAACUUCUCUUCACCAAGCUGGUAUUUCUUCAUUAUUAAAACUUUAUGAAAAUGGCCAUACGUGGAAAAUAAGCUUGAAGGAGGACAAGGAGGAAGAACAAGAAUGCUCUGCAACAGCUCUUCGUGUCUUUUGCUAAGAGGAAACUUGUCAAGAUAAUUGCUCUUAACUAUCCUACCUUGGAGGAUCCUGUGUAAAGCUGAUCUUAAGAAGAGAGAACGAUUUGUAUUUGAAGUAACUGCCAAAGAAAGAGGAAUCAAGAAACACAUUUUAAUGGAAAAAUCUACAGGAGAAAAAAAGACUAAAGUCUUUUUACUUUAGGUUACCCUUAAUCAGUAAAAAGGCACAGCUGCUGAAAGGAGAGAAAAGGAGAAUAAUAAGUAGAGAAUAAAAUUGCAAAGAACAUUUUUAUUCUUAAGGGGGCAAACUACAUGUCAUAUGAUCUUCUGAAAUACUUUGGUGACAUGUUUUGACCCCUCUCUAGUAAACUGAUAUUUUUGCAGUAUUCAGAAUUUGGUCAGCCUUCUGUUAGUAGACUCUGGACUGUUCCUUGAUCUGUAAUUGUUUCUGUCUAUAAGUCAUGAUUUUGCUGCUGUUUAACCAGAAAUUAGCUUGUAUGGAUCUAACAGCAUCCAAAACAAAUUUUAGGAAUAUUCUAAAUGGAUGAGGUUAUUCAGAAUAUUGGUUGUUGUCCAGCCACUGAAGUUCUGGGUUUAGGUCUGGAGAGAGAAGAGCUGAACUCCAGCAGUACAGCAGUGAUGCCCAGAUGCCACCGAAGAAAGCAGGUUUUGCAGGAGGCGUAGGUGCCAAGUGACUGCGGUGUGGAGUGUUGGUGCUGCGUUUCUCCAACAAACCACGUGUCACUUGUUUCUAAAUGUGCUGAUAUGGUGUCUAUGAGAGGAUAUUUUCACUUCAUGUGAGGUAUGCUAAAUAUAUAUCUGGCAGGAAAUACUAAUAUUAUAAUGAGUUUUUUAAGUUGGCAAUCUUAAGAGUUGUAUAAGAACCUUGUUACUCUACACAUUUCAUCAGAGGUGAAAUGACGUGCUGUUUGGAGAUUUUACAGUGACUUGUGUCUUUAUAAAUGAAUAUCAAUACCUUAAAACUAUAAAAUAAAAAUAUAUAUAAAUGCAGUGUUACUUUGCUGUAUAAGGCUUAUGAUGACCUUUUGCAGUAGCUGUCAAAUUUUCUGCUAGUGGAAAGUGAUAUUUUCCAGCGUUCUUUAGAGUGCUACCCAGUCCUGGUGUUAAACUUUGGUAAUUCUUUGCAUUAAAACUAUACAGAUGAAAAUGUGUACCUGAUUUAUUAUUUUUUUUCUUAAAGGUGUUCAUUUGAUACUUUAUGAAAUUUCACAGCUGUGCUUCCCUCCCAGCUGUUUUUCAUAACACGUUAAUGUGGAUGUAGCUCUAGACAUUCUGUCUUAUUCCCUACCUAUUCUUAAACUAAGCAAGAAAAUACCCAACCUGCUUAGCACUUGAGUUUCAGGGCUUAUAUUCUAUCUCUUACACAUACUGAUGGUAUGUGGGGACAUUUUUGUACUGCUGUCCAGAAUGUGAAGAAAAAUGCCUGACCUCAAGACCGUAUCAUUAACCUUCAUCUCUGAGGAUCAGGUCUUUGGUAGAGAAGAACGCCUUUGUGUUUGUCCAGGUCAUGGCUGUGCAAACAGGAAUCUUGGAAUGAGUAGCUUGGACAUUUAUUUGUACCAAAAAGAGAAGAAAAAAAAAAAAGGAUUAAAAUCUUUGAAAAACCUAAGAGACUUUUGGAAUCUCCUGUGAAGAUGAACGUUCAGCAUGUCAGUAGCAGUUUUCCAAGUUCCCGUCCUGGAUAGCCUUCCAGUCUGGUGUUUUUCUUGCCUCUUCAUGACCUCGUAUCUUGAGCAGCCUAGCUGGAUCCCCUGGUUCCUGUUUCCUCUUGUUUCAAAAUUCUGCUUUCCCCCAUUUUAAACCCCCCACCUUUUUAUAUUCAUGUAAAUAUACGAAGCUUUCACUA